rnacentral:rRNA from 1 species
GACGAACGCUGGCGGCGUGCUUAACAUAUGCAAGUCGAACGGAAAGGCCCUGCUUUUGUGGGGUGCUCGAGUGGCGAACGGGUGAGUAACACGUGAGUAACCUGCCCUUGACUUUGGGAUAACUUCAGGAAACUGGGGCUAAUACCGGAUAGGGGCUCCUGCUGCAUGGUGGGGGUUGGAAAGUUUCGGCGGUUGGGGAUGGACUCGCGGCUUAUCAGCUUGUUGGUGGGGUAGUGGCUUACCAAGGCUUUGACGGGUAGCCGGCCUGAGAGGGUGACCGGCCACAUUGGGACUGAGAUACGGCCCAGACUCCUACGGGAGGCAGCAGUGGGGAAUAUUGCACAAUGGGCGGAAGCCUGAUGCAGCAACGCCGCGUGCGGGAUGACGGCCUUCGGGUUGUAAACCGCUUUCGCCUGUGACGAAGCGUGAGUGACGGUAAUGGGUAAAGAAGCACCGGCUAACUACGUG